CGUACUUCUUCAACUCGAAUACCAAAAGGAAGAAAAAAUAUGACUAAGUGAUUUUAUAGUAGAGGCAUAUCCUGAAUGUGCCAAAUCCCUAAACUCUAAACUACCUGUUAUCCAAAAAAACCUAAAAUUCCUAAUAAUAGACCAAAAUCCCCUACACGAUUAGUUAGAAAAUCCCAAGGCGAUGAUCAGUAGCUGGUCCGAGAGGAUGAUCAGCCACACUGGGACUGGGACACGGCCCAGACUCCUACGGGAGGCAGCAGUGGGGAAUUUUCUGCAAUGGGCGAAAGCCUUUAGA
rnacentral:ncRNA from 1 species